GGAAAUAACGAUACGACUGGAUAGUACUUGGAGAAUUUGAAAACCAGGAAUGGCUAGAAAUGACUGAGGUUCUGGAGGCUCACUCACUAUAUAACAGGCACCAAAUAGUCCUGAAAGAAAAAUACUCUUUGCCUAGUGGUGCCGCCCUGCUGGAACC